AACGAACGUUAGCGGCGCGCUUAACACAUGCAAGUCGAACGAGAAAGCCCCUUCGGGGGUGAGUACAGUGGCGCACGGGUGAGUAACACGUGGGUUAUCUACCUCCUGGUGUGGGACAACACCUCGAAAGGGGUGCUAAUACCGCAUAAGUCCACUUCGGUGGGGAAAGGCGGCUUCGGCUGUCGCCAGAAGAUGAGCCCGCGGCCCAUCAGCUAGUUGGUAGGGUAAUGGCCUACCAAGGCUACGACGGGUAGCUGGUCUGAGAGGAUGAUCAGUCACACUGGAACUGAGACACGGUCCAGACUCCUACGGGAGGCAG
rnacentral:rRNA from 1 species